rnacentral:misc_RNA from 1 species
GUUUUGAUGGGCCAGAAACCGGCCUGGAUUUGAGAGAGCUAGCCGUGCCGGAAGUGGAGUUCAAGCAGUUGCCCAUGGCCGGCUCCUGGAGAUCCAACCAUCCAUCAAAGGAUUAGUACGCCGGGCAUACACAUAGUCGAUUUUUCUCCCUUCCCUUGCUGGGAGAGACUCGACGACUCAGACGAGGACGAGGUCCGCCGAGU